UUUCAGCCCUAUUGUGUCCCCUUCAUUUUUCUACCAAGCCUAGACUUGACAUUUUUAAAGGGAGCAUGAUUCCACAAGUCCAUCAUUAUUUCUUUAUGGCUUAUACAAUGUUAUUUCAAUAUUGUUUAAGGUAUUUUGAAGUGUUAAUGAGUAGAGAAUGUUUAGAUGGUAGAAUCCAAUCUAGAUAAUUAGUAUUAACUCUUAUGAAAAUAUUUUUUCUUUCAACUUUUUACAUUAACAAAAAUGCACCCCUGCCGUGUACAUGUAGAUUCCCAUAUGUCGGUUCCAGGUAGUGUCUGACCCAGCUGGCUAUCCUGGAAGAUAGUUCACCAAAAGCAGUGAGGGGCUUGCAGAUAAUGUGGAGUGAACCUCAUGAGGUCAAUCCAGUGGAAGGAGCAGGAAUGGAACAGAAAGGCUACAUGCAUCAUUUGGGGCCUUUGUAUAAGAAUGCUUUAAUCCUAGCUGCUACUGAUGGAAUAACCUUAGUGAGUAUUUUGAGAAGAUGAAAAUUGAGAGUUGAAGGAAAAACCAAGGUCAUGAGUCUCAUAAGCAGCAAAGACAGAAUUUAAAUCUACUCUGAGAACACUUUCUAGCCUCUCUACUGCCUUCACUCCAGCUAGAAGCUUUAGUUGCUGCUUACCAAAUUCCAAACCUCUGCUAGUGACAUUCUUCCACUUGAAGAGCCUUUGACUUCCUUUCUGCCGCUCUGGAUCCCAGAUUACAACUGGAUGUAAUCCCCAUGUACCCUAAAAGUCACCCCCAUGUGCAAUCUACUCGUGUGUUCAGAACUCCCCAGAUUUUACACUUUGAACCAAUCUGCAGUACUGCCCAUUACAGCACAGGUGUGCCCAAUCUCCCCAGCUGACUCAUAAGCUUUCUCAGACCUGUUGCUUUCAUUCUCUCACCUGCUAAGCCUAGCCUAGAUAGUCUUAAUAAAUAUUUCUG
rnacentral:lncRNA from 1 species